CAUUUAUUAGAGUUUUACCAUGUAAGUGAUAUACCGGUAAUUACUGCAGUACAUGAAAGACAGUGUCGUGCAUUAUCAUCACAUCUUUAAAUUUUCAACAAUAGUUACUUAUGAAAAGUUAAAAGCAAAUGGUGAGCAAUUGAAUCCUUAUGUUAAGGUAAUACAGCGAAAAAGACUCCGGACGACGGACCAUUUCCCCUCCCUUAUCAACUCGUACUCGACCGUGUGUGUAUUUGGAGGUUUACGAGGUCCUUUCCGAGCCAGAGGAUACUUCAUAAUUAUGCGGACCUGGACCCGGGCAGACUAAAUAUGCUGACAGUUACCAGUACUAAGUCUGUAAGGUAUAGAUUGGUGAAAAAGCUGUUUUUUUACACCUGCAAAUAAAAUGCAGGCAAUUUCGGUUUACCUUUGCAUACUGGGAAUGCAGCUGUUUAAUAGUUUUCAGUCG